AAGGGAGCAAUCCAUGAGUAUAGUGGCGACCGGGUGAGUAACACGUGACUACCUGCCCUUGAGUGGGGGAUAACCUCGGGAAACCGAGGCUAAUACCGCAUAAUAUCGAAAGAUCAAAGGAGCAAUCCGCUUUUGGAGGGGGUCGCGGCUGAUUAGCUAGUUGGUAGGGUAAUGGCCUACCAAGGCGAAGAUCGGUAUCCGGCCUGAGAGGGCGCACGGACACACUGGAACUGAAACACGGUCCAGACUCCUACGGGAGGCAGCAGUGGGAAAUUUUGCGCAAUGGGGGAAACCCUGACGCAGCAACGCCGCGUGGAGGAUGAAGCCCCUUGGG
rnacentral:rRNA from 1 species